ACCAAUAGGAGCAUUUUUGUUUAACACAUAGAAAAAGUAUAACCCAAAUAUUUUUGUAUAACGGUUAAUAAGCCACUACAACAAAAAAAAAAAAAAAAAACCCUAUCCACAACACUUAAUUAUAAGAUUAUUAAAAAAGUAUUAUAAUAAAAUAAAGUAACUAGGGAAAGUAAAUAAAAAUCAAUCUAAAACGCGGCAAAUGGAAUGUUGUGUUAUAUUUUAUUUCCUCUUAAUCACUCUCUUUUCGUCUUUCUCUCUCUUUUUCUUCUUGUUUUCUCUCUAUUUUGGCAAACCUAGGCUGAAAAAAUUUGUAAAGACUGAAGAUUGUAAGCCACCACCUCUCUCGGACAUGAAUCUUACGCGAGGCUCAACGAACAAAAGGAGCUCCUCGGCCACCACCUUUGUUCAGAAGGUGUAUAGGUUUUGGGAUUAUCAUCAGUGAAGGAGAAAACUUGUACCUAAGAACAUUAAAAGAGCUUGCUGAGUUUGUGAGCGAGCGAGUUACACCUGAAGGAAUCCUAGAUUUUGUGAAGCAUCGGCUUAAUGGAGGGAAUCAAUCAUUCUUUCUUUAUCAUCUCCAACCACCAACACCAUCUCUCUCGGUUGUCAUCUUGCACCACAACCAACCACAGAGGAAAAAGUUGCUCUUAAGGAAGAAAUGAAUAAGAAGGAGAGUAUAAAACUCAAGAUAAAAUGUGCUGAAACUCAUGAGGGCCAUUGCAAGCAGCUAGGUUCUUCGAGGCAAUGUUGAGUUCGGUCUGACACACAUGAUGCUACUGUGGAGGACGAAGAAGAGAUAAAGCCUACAACUUGCAUGAGUUGGGUCACAAAGUUGGAGAAACAAUAAAAAGUUGGCAAGCUCGAACUUGGAACUAGUAUUCAGCAAGAAUUAAUACAAGCGCUGUUGAUAAUAUUGCUGGAAGCAUGGACCAAGUGAAUGAGGAUUCACCAUAUGGUAUGAACGUAGUUUCAGUUGAAGACAGACCAUCAAGUGGUGAUGAAGAUUCAGACUCUGUAGUUCCACCUGUGCCAUUGGUCUCUGCAUCUCGCAGUGAACACAAGUGGGGUGAUACCAACUCGUAUGCUGUGAAGAAGUUUAUUGUUUCAGAAGCUUCAAUCUUGGUUUCAACGCCCAAAUAGGAAAUGGGAGCUUGCGAAAAUAUUGUCAAUCUCAGGGACUUAAUCUGUCAUUGCAUUGUCUGAUGAGAAAGUUUUAAAGGUACAAACUGAAAGUUUGGUCCCAGCAAAUCCUGAUAUCCUUGAUGGUGUAGAUGAUCUCAUGCAGCUAAGUUAUCUAAAUGAACCAUCAGUGUUGUACAAUCUCUAGUACAGAUACAAUCAAAAUAUGAUUUACGUAUAUUCUCAAAUUUGUUGUAUCUUUUCUUUUGUCAUUUUCUUGGAAAUCUAUCUCCUCUAUUGUCUUGACAUUUUGAUUGUAUUCCUUGUAGACAAAAGCAGGACCAGUGUUGGUUGCUAUCAAUCCAUUUAAGAAAGUUCCUUUGUAUGGAAAUGAAUAUAUAGACGCAUAUAAGAGCAAAACAAAUGACAACCCACAUGUGUAUGCCAUUACAGACACAUCAGUCCGGGAAAUGAUAUGAGGUUCUUUACUCGUUCAAUAUUUAUAAGAUUAUUCUUUUCAGCACAUAAAUCCCACCUUGAGAAUUGUCAUUAGCUGUUAAAAGUUCUAAUGUGACAUACUUGUUUCUAGAUGAUGUAAAUCAGUCUAUCAUCAUAAGGUUAGUGAACAAUUCCCUCCCAUUCUGUUAUAAACUUAUAAUGUUGCAGUUUCCAGUUUCCAGUUUGCUGAUUGUUUAUUUACAUAUUUUGAUUGUAAUUUUGUUGUCUUACAUGCUUUAUAUGUUUUACACAUCUAGUACAGACUUAGGUCCUUUGAUGUUUAAGUGAGAGAUUUAUAAGAAUUAAUGGGUUCUGUCAUGCUUGAAUGAUUUGGAUUUUUCAAAACUUAAAAAAAAAUCAUUAUUACUUUUUAUAUAUAAGAAUAUGUUGCAAUCUUGGUAAUUCUAUAUAAUGAGUUUAAAUAAUAAAUCUCGUCUUAUUGUUUUGAAUGACAUUAUUAUUUAUAUAAUUGUAUUCUAACACUAAGAGGUCAUAUAUGAUCUCUUCACUUUGUGUUUCUUUUUUUAAACAAAAAAAAGUGUAAAGAAUAGAUCGAGUGUGCCAAUUAUUUGCAACCAAAAGUAUGAAUAUGAGACUUAGCCACACUAAAUUGUAUUUUGUAUGGUCUUGAAACUUUCGAAGCAAUUGACCUCAAAAUGACAUUAGGCAACUGGUGAAUUUAGAAGCUGUAUGGCGUAUUUGUCUACCUAGGGAAGAAAUCUUAUGUUAUUGAGAGAAAGAGCUGGUUUAAAUUAUUCUGAGGGAUAUUUUUUUUUAAGAGCUUUGCUUUCCUUUUAGUCAUUACAGAGAUAGCAAAACUAGGAAAGUUUAAAGAUUGAUGAGAUGUGCAAAGUAUUUCCAAAACAGGGAAAAUAAAACUUGUAUUACUAGGCAAUAGAGCUAUCAUUACUUAGUAUGCGUGGCUCAUAUAUAUAUACACAUAGAAUUACAUGGGUAUGUAUAGAUUAGAAUGCUUUACAGCUUAUGGAGCUGAAUUAGUACAUACUUAUGGGAGGAAACUCUAGUGUUUCCAUAGCUAGAACUGUAUAUUAAUCUAUUACAACAGAUAUAUUUUAAUUACCAAAAGUUCUCAUGUUUAAGCUUAACUAAACCAUAAAACAUAGGUAUGUGAAAACUCUUGCUUAUUAAAUGAGUAGGACUUUCAAGUAGUUAAUAGAUCAUAUAUAUUUACACAGUCACAACAGUAACUUAAAAUUGCCGGGAAUGGGUUUUUUUUCUUUCUUAUAUAAAUGAUUUUUAAACAUAAGCUAGCUAGCUUUGGCAGAGAAGCCAGAUAUGAUCAGAUCAGACCACCAAAGAGAUAAUCAAAUAAGGAGAUGGAAUAAUUGUAGAAGUUACGUUACAUGUGCAUAUAUAACAUAGAGGAUGUAACUUCAGUAUAUGAAUAAUAUCAAAUAUCAUUUUCUAAUUAAAUGUUGUUACCUUUUUGUUGUUUGCAUAUCAAGGGCCAUUGGUAAUAGUAGUGUGCCUUUAAUUAAUUUACCCUACUGUUGCAAUCAAUAUAUGGUUUUAAUUUGCUUUGUACAUUCUUUUUCUUGCAAAUCUAUAUAUUUUCUCUGUUUGCUUGUAUAAUUUAGGGGCUGUCGAAAUUUUUAAAGUUUCUAUGUUCUCUAAGCUUAGUUUUGAUCCAAUUCAUACCAGCCAUCUAGGGGACUCAGGAACAAAAUGUAGACCAACCAGUAAGACAAUGCAUGGAACAAGUCCUCCAGAUAAAAAAGUAAACAAAAAAAAAAAAAAAAAAACUCAGAAGUCAGUCCCUUAAAUUCUUGUAUGUUUCUUUUGAAAAAUUCAGUUCAAUCACAUAACAUACACAUAUAUAGUGAUAUAGGAAAAUAAAUAAAAUAUGUAAUUGUAAUCACUAUUUACCAGUUAGUUAGAGCUAAUGAUCUCCAACUUAUAGUUGUCCCUAUGAUAAAGGCAAGUGAUCCUCCAAGAACAAUCAUGAGCUGAAGAACAAACAAGCAAACAUAUAUAAGAAUUUAACUUUAUAUGAUAAUCUCAUCUAGUAUUCAGAAUUAAGAUGAAAUUAAUCAUCUGUUGUACCUGAUUUAGUGUUGUAAGACCUCCACGGAGAUGCUCUCUGCUAUAUAUAUUGGGACCUGUUCAUGUUUUCAUUCAUUAGUAAUCUUAUUAGUAUAAAUAAUAUGAAUAUAUUAUCAUUAGAAAUAUAAAAAAUUAAGUGGUAGUCAAAAAAGUUACCACAUAAGAGAAAAUUCCAAUGCCAUAUCCUGUGAAUAGUCUUCCCAUGUCAAGGGACAUAGCUCCCUGUAUCAGAAUUUUUUUCAACUCAGAAACUGACCCAAUUGAAAACAAUAUUCAACAAUUUAAUACUUGAAGAUAGACUCAAAAUUUAUCCAGUAGAUCAGUAGACCUACAAGUGUCUCCUGUGUGGUGGGGUGCUGCUGCACUUAUGCAGCUAGCUGCUGCAUGGGUAUAUAUAUAUACAUAUAUAUUUAUAUAUAAGAAUAAAAGAAUAUCAUUAAAUAUGAUAGUUUAUAUAUAGGAGUAUAGUAUCUACUAGUAAAAAUAAUGAUCAAAAGAAAUAGACAAACAAACACGUAAAGGAUCUCUAUUAAUAUGUUCUCAUUAUAUAGUAUAGAGUAUAAUAUAUAUAUAUAUAUAUAUAUAUAUAUACUACUAGUGAUAGUGAAAAUGAAAAUGAAAUUGAUGCAAAAACCAGAUAUUCUCAUUGCCUGCAUUGCAUUCCCCCACAUAAAAAUUUAAUACACAUAAUCUAUCUCAUUAAUUUGUUGUUAUCAUAGUUGCAAAACAAAGACACCUCUAAUGUACCAAUAUACAAGGAAUAUGGAAUCAUAUUGUGAUCAUAUUUUAUUAAAAAAAUUAUCUCUAUAUAUAGUUUCACAUAGAUCAUUUGUUAAGUACUCAAGAGAUUAAUAAAACUAAUGUACGUAUAAAAUUGAUGAUGGAGAAUAUAAUUUGAUUGGUAUCCGGAAUUAUUAUCGAGAACAUAAGUAUUAGAGUUAUAUUUUUUUAAGACGCAUGAUAGAAAAUAAGUAUAUUAUCAUACAAAAUCAACUCUAGUUAAAAUUGAAACAAACACUAUACUACUAACAUGAUAUUUAUUUUUACUUAACUAAUUAAAUGAAUCUUUGAAUUAGUAAAAACAUAUGUAUUUUUCAGAAUAUUAUAUGUGGUGUGGAUGAGAUAAAAUAAUAAUAUUAUGUGAUUGUUUUAACUUAGCAACACGAAGAUUAUUAUUUAUAUUUCAUGGAAUUUUCUUCAUAGUAAUAAUAAGACAUAAUAGCUUUGUAUAUAAAAAGAACUUUCCAAUUACAUUGACAAACUACACUAUUAAUAAAAGAAAAAAGUGAUAUUUUGAUCUGCAGGUUCAUGAAACAUGUUGGUGAGUCAACUAGAAUGUUUGACUUAUAUAUACCCAAAAUUUAAUAUAUAAAGAUUUUUUUUACUUAUUGUAUCAUUUAAUUUUAAUUUUGUAUUAAUUUUUUAGGUAUUGAUUAUAUUUUUUAGGUUGUGGAUCGAAUUGGCAAGGAGGAUUGCAAAGUUAAUUAACUUGAUUAUUAAUUGCAAGAGAUUCAACAAGUGAAGUGCAAAAGAAAAUCUGAUUUGGAAGGCUUUGGUGUACUAACAUUUGGAAGAUUAUGAAUUCCUACCUUUACUUUUGAAUAUGCAACUGUUUAAGACUAUUUUGUUGACUAUUGUGAGAAUAUUUUGUUUAUGUUAAUUAGGCAGUGUUGAAUAUCUUAAGACUUUUGGAUUGUUUUUAAGAUAAUCUUGAAUGUAUUUUGACACAAUUGGUACUCAAAAAUUGGUUAUAUGUGUUAUGAACCAUAUAAUUGGCACUCAAAAAUAUAUUUGUACAA